rnacentral:rRNA from 1 species
CAGUCGCCGCGGUAAUACGUAGGGUGCGAGCGUUAAUCGGAAUUACUGGGCGUAAAGCGUGCGCAGGCGGUUAUAUAAGUCAGAUGUGAAAUCCCUGGGCUCAACCUGGGAAUGGCAGUGGAUACUGGAAGGCUAGAGUGCGGUAGAGGGUAGUGGAAUUCCCGGUGUAGCAGUGAAAUGCGUAGAGAUCGGGAGGAACACCAGUGGCGAAGGCGGCUACCUGGACCAGCACUGACACUGAAGCACGAAAGCGUGGGGAGCAAACAGGAUUAGAGACCCGCGUAGUCCCUGUCUCUUAUAA